GGAUUGUGAAUCCCCCAUGCGCGA
rnacentral:tRNA from 1 species